AAUUAGCCACGUUCCGCCUGGGAGCUGAGCACCAGCCUCCCGCAGCCACAGCUGGGAGGGGUCAGCCCUGCAUGUUAAGGAUUCUUCCUACUAUACCAAGCUGUCUUCCGUCCAAAAACGCUGAUGGCAUCAUCUACUUUGCAGCUUCUCCUCAAUCUCCUGUCCCUUCCAGGGGCAUCACUGACACCAACCACUCCACUUUUUUUCUCCUCAAUCUCCUGUCCCUUCCAGGGGCAUCACUGACACCAACCACCCUACUUUUCCCGGUCCCUCAGCCCCACCACCUUUCCGGAUGGAUCUCGCUCGUAAAGCUCCGGCCAGGAAAAUGCAGCCCCUGGACGACACAGGAGCCUGGGAUGCAGAGCCGAGAGUGCCAAGGUCAGAUGGGAACACCUGCUGGAACUGGUCUCCAGGAUGGACUGACUUCGCGUCAGCUGACACGGAAAGCUGCUUGUCGGGCCAGGGCAGAGAAGGGCAGAGAGGUGGUGGCUGGGAAGAGCACCUGCCUGUAAAACAGUCAGAUCCCAGAGGAUGGAGAAGCUAGAGGCUGGGUAUCUGGACAUUUUAGACACAGGAAGGUAAAGAGCCAAAUAGCUCUUAAUUAGGUUGGCGAAGGGCUCCAUCAGAAACCAUCCCUCCUCCUAGUGUUGAGACCAUCAGCUUGCCUACGACACAUUUGCGCUACGACAAGAGCAUAGCCAUCAUUCCAAGGGAGGCUAUGGGUGGGAAAUGGGGGGUAGGGUAAGGAAAGGCUAAUGGCACCAUCCUGGAGAGGCCUUCUUUCUCAGAUUCUUUUUCCAUAAGUGACUGUACAAGAUCCUGGUAUCUCUGCAAAGAUUCUCAAAGAUGAGUUGGAAGGCACUGGUGAGAACAUAUCAAAGAUAUAAAGGAAUUUCACAGAAUCGGGACCUGAAGGUUUGGCAGAUAUUGCCUAGUCCAAUCUUGCUUCCCCAUUUUAUAGAGGUGAACAUUGAGGCCCACAGAGUCGAAGACUUCUCCAAGGUCCCAGCAGAAGUAAGGAUAGACUCAAAGCAAGAACCCAGAGCCACUGAAGGCAAACAGAACCAAAGGUCUGUUGAAGAGUGGCGGCCAUUAGUAGCCAGGCCUCUUUCUCCUGCUCGGAGAGGUCUCUUAAUUCGACAGCCCCAAGUGUCUGUAGAGCCUCAGGCUUACCAGGCAGAGUGGGUAGGGAGCGAGAACAGGCCAAACCAGUUCAAUGGCAAGUUGAGGAAGAGAAUCUUUAGAUGGGUACAUGAGCUGCCAAAGAACUGGAGCCCUCUCACCACAGCACAGGCUACCUCACAUGACAGCAAGUUCCCCACCCAGAGGUAUAUGAGCAGAGGUUCAGCCUGAGGCUGCGCAUGAAAGGUGGCUUAGCUUGGAGGUCCCACACAAGGCAAACUUGAGCAGGCAGCAGACUCCAGGGACGACAGCAGGAGGCGGGCGCUUUAAACCGUCUCACAUCUUUAUUUGAAAGGCACAGCUAGUACAAGCUUAGUACAGCGUCUCCAUUCCUCCUCGGUUUAGGUUAAUGAACACCAGAAGCCGACAAGUUUGUCUAAAGGACUAUAUACAAACACGAAAUUGAGGGAAGGGAAACAGGACUUUUUUUUUGGUGAAUUUUUUUUUCUUUCUUCUUUUUAAAAGACAGGCUAGCAGACUGAAAGAAAACCAGACAAAUGCGGUACCCUCAUCUUUAUUUGUGGGCAUUGGGUGGGGGAGGAAGCAGGCCCCCAGGCCCUCUCCAUCCAGCCUCCCCUCCCCCAUAUGCCUGCUGCUGAGCUCUCUCCCAAUGCCUGGCCCAAAGCAAAGGGGCUCAGGUCCCAGGUUAGGUGGUGAUGGAGCAGAGCCUGGGAGGAGUCAGGCAGGCAAAUGGCAGGAGGAAGGAAAGGAGGAGGGGGACAAGGUAGAGCCUCUACAUGAGAUGGAGGGGAGGAACCCGGGGCCGGCUGGCAUCCGUGAUUGCAUGCAGUACCAGGAGGGGACUGGGGAACUGCUGUGCUGGGUGCGCAGCAAACAGGCCGAACGGGGGGAGCAGGAGAAGGGGGGUCGGUUACAUAUGUGCACAGGGAAGGGGGGGAGGCGCGCUUGGAGCUAAGGUGGGUUCACUCUUUUAUUCCCUUCCGACCCGGUCUGGUCCCAUUCACACCCCAAGGGAUUCAGGGGAAGGGGGGAAGGG